UACGUAGGGGGCAAGCGUUGUCCGGAUUUAUUGGGCGUAAAGAGCGUGUAGGCGGCCAAGUAGGUCCGGUGUGAAAACUCGAGGCUUAACCUCGAGAUGUCAUCGGAAACCAUUUGGCUAGAGUCCGGAAGAGGAAAGUGGAAUUCCUGGUGUAGCGGUGAAAUGCGCAGAUAUCGUGAGGAAGACCAGUGGCGAAGGCGAAUCUCUGGACAGUUACUGACGCUGAGGCACGAAGGCCAGGGGAGCAAACGGG
rnacentral:rRNA from 1 species